UUGGAGGGCAAGUCUGGUGCCAGCAGCCGCGGUAAUUCCAGCUCCAAUAGCGUAUAUUAAAGUUGUUGCAGUUAAAAAGCUCGUAGUUGAAUUUCGGAAUCAGUAUGUCGGUCGUGCCUCCGGUAUGUACUGGCGUCACUGGUUUCUCCCUUCUGACGAACCAUCAUGCUAUUAAUUUAGUGUGGUGGGAAAUCAGGACUGUUACUUUGAAAAAAUUAGAGUGUUUAAAGCAGGCUCACGCUUGAAUACAUUAGCAUGGAAUAAUGAAAUAGGACGUUGAUCCUAUUUUGUUGGUUUCUAGGAUUGACGUAAUGAUUAAUAGGGAUAGUUGGGGGCAUUAGUAUUCAAUUGUCAGAGGUGAAAUUCUUGGAUUUAUUGAAGACUAACUACUGCGAAAGCAUUUGCCUGGGAUGUUUUCAUUAAUCAAGAACGAAAGUUAGGGGAUCGAAGACGAUCAGAUACCGUCGUAGUCUUAACCAUAAACUAUGCCGACUAGAAUCGAUGAUGUAUAA
rnacentral:rRNA from 1 species